rnacentral:rRNA from 1 species
UACGGAGGGUGCAAGCGUUUAAUCGGAAUUACUGGGCGUAAAGCGUGCGUAGGCGGUUCGUUAAGUCUGUUGUGAAAGCCCCGGGCUCAACCUGGGAAUGGCAAUGGAUACUGGCGAGCUAGAGUGUGUCAGAGGAUGGUGGAAUUCCCGGUGUAGCGGUGAAAUGCGUAGAGAUCGGGGAGGAACAUCAGUGGCGAAAGGCGGCCAUCUGGGG